rnacentral:misc_RNA from 1 species
GGAGAUUGUUAAGGUUUUUCCCCCUCUUCUUUUUCUUUACUGGUUCAUCGUAGACUAUGUUUUCUUUUCGUUCUUUUUCUUUAGAAGAGUCUAGCACAACAACGUGGAGUACAGAUCUGCUAGAUUGUGCAAACACUAACUAUGUUUUCUACAGCUAUUUUUGUCACUAAUUAUUUUUUAACAUUUCACUUUUAUUUCGUUGUUUUCCUCGCUCAAUUUAUGGUUUUUGAAACCUUUUGGUCCGGUUUACUGUUAUCCA